rnacentral:rRNA from 1 species
UGGCGGACGGGGGAGUAAUGUCUGGGAAACUGCCCGAUGAGGGGGAGUAACUACUGGAAACGGUAGCUAAUACCGCAUAACGUCGCAAGACCAAAGAGGGGGACCUUCGGGCCUCUUGCCAUCGGAUGUGCCCAGAUGGGAUUAGCUAGUAGGUGGGGUAACGGCUCACCUAGGCGACGAUCCCUAGCUGGUCUGAGAGGAUGACCAGCCACACUGGAACUGAGACACGGUCCAG